rnacentral:rRNA from 1 species
CCUACGGGAGGCAGCAGUGGGGGAUAUUGCACAAUGGGGGAAACCCUGAUGCAGCGACGCCGCGUGAACGAAGAAGUCUUUCCGUAUGUAAAGCCCUAUCUGCAGGGAAGAAGAAUUGACGAUACCUGCGUAAGUAUCACCGGCUAAUUCCGUGCCAUCAGCCGCGGUAAUACGUAUGGUGCAGGCGUUAUCCGGAUUUAGUGGGUGUAACGGGAGCGUAGGCGGGAUGGCAAGCCUGUUGUGAAAGUUUGCGGCGCAACCGCAGAAUUGCAUUGGAAACUACCAGGCUGGAGUACAGGUGAGGUAGGCGGAAUUCGUGGUGUAGCGGUGAAAUGCGUAGAUAUCACGAAGAACACCAGUGGCGAAGGCAGCCUACUAAACGGCGACUGACACUGAGGCUCGAAAGUGUGGGUAGCAAACAGGAUUAGAUACCCGUGUAGUC